CGUUUCAGUAAAACGUUUCAGUAAAACGUUUCAGUAAAUGUUUCAAUAAAACUAAAUGUUUCAAUAAAACGUUUCAGUAAAACGUUUCAGUGAAUGUUUCAGUGAAUGUUUCAGUAAAACGUUUCAGUAAAACGUUUCAGUGAAUGUUUCAGUGAAUGUUUCAGU